UACGUAGGAGGCAAGCGUUGUCCGGAAUUACUGGGCGUAAAGCGCACGCAGGCGGUUCGCCAAGUUUGGAGUGACAGUUGUCGGCUCAACCGACAAAGGACUUCAAAAACUGGUGAACUUGAGGACGAGAGAGGAACAUGGAACUCCAGGUGUAGUAGUGAAAUGCGUAGAUAUCUGGAAGAACACCAAUGGCGAAGGCAAUGUUCUGGCUCGUUUCUGACGCUCAGGUGCGAAAGCCAGGGGAGCGAACGGG
rnacentral:rRNA from 1 species